UUUUUUUUUUUUUUUUUGGUAUUUUGUCUUUUUAGGGCCACACUCUUGGCUUAUGGAUGUUUUCAGGCUAGUGGUCGAAUCCAAGCUCAGCUGACCGCCUAUGCCACAGCCACAGCCACAGCAACGCGGGAUCCGAGCCACAUAUGCAACCUACACCACAGGUCAUGGCAAUGCUGGAUUCUUAACCCACUGAGCAAGGCCAGGGAUUGAACCCGUGUCUUCAGCGAUACUCUUUGGGUUCGUUAAUGACUGAGCCACUGCAGGAACUCUGGUACAACAUCUAUUUUAAACUAGAUAGACAAAUGGAUUUUAAUUAACCAAUCAUUUUUAAUGUAACCAAUGUAAUGUAAUCAAUGUAAAUCAUUGAUAUGUCUUCAAAUUCUACACGGCAACUAAGUUUUAAGAAACUAUCAUUUCUUGAGUUUGGUGUAAUAUCAAAGAUGAAUAUUCACAGUUAUUUGAAAGACUGUUAUGGUAUUCUUCUCUUUUCCAAAUUCAGAACUCUGGGUGAAUGGAUUUUCUUCCUAUUCUUAAAUAAAAAUAUGCUGUGACAAACAAUUCAGCAACAGAUGUGCAAAUCCAGGUCUACUCUAUUAAGCCAGACAUUUUUAAAUAGACUUUCAAAAUAUAAAUCAAGGUCAGUUUUCUCACUAUCUCUUCUUAUUUUAGAAAAUAUGCUAAUUUCUCAUAAAAACAAGUUAUUUAUGUUAACUUGAAUUGGGCAUAUUAUGAUAAUUUUUAAUGAAUAGAGAAGUCUUUAAUUUUCUUAAAUUUUAAUUUCUGUUAUGGUAUACAUAUUGCCACAUAAAUAAAAGCCUUUUUAAAGCUCCAAUAACUUUUAGGUGUAUAAAGGGUUCUGAAGAACAAAAGAUUUGUGAACCUCUGGUAGAGAACACUACAUUAGAGGACUUCUUGUCAAAUUUCUUCUCCUGUUGUCUCCUCAUUUAAAAUUAUCUUCCCAACCUUCUGCUUUCUACAUCGGUUCAGGCCUUGGUUCCUCUGUAGUCUGCUCCUCUCAUUAACACCCUAGCUCUGUUAACAGGAUCCUGCUCUGAUGCCCCUCAAGACUGAGAGCUUAUUUCUAUACCCCACCCUCCAAACGCAAGGCAUCAGCCACUGUUCCUAGAACUACUUCGUGCAUUGGUGGGUCUGCCUAACCUCUACCUGUUGGUCCCCUCAUAGCCUUGGUCAUUUUAAUUACAUUUUUUCUUCUCUCAACUAAUAGUGACCAAAGAUAGAACUUACCGGGGGAUCACUAUCGGCCAAACAGAGUUAAGACAAGGGUAGAGAAAAUGGGGAUGAGGAUUGAAAGAGACUUAAUUUUAUUUACAAAAAUAUGGUACACAAUUAUAUGAACAAAAGAAAUAACAAGGAAAUGAGAACAAGUAUAUAGAUUCUCAUUUUCCCAUUGUUAUACACCACUGUCUAGCAUUCUAAGCUACAUUUAUUAAUAUUUCUCUCCAAAUAUAGAUCACCCUGAAAAUUUUCCUGUACAUCUUUUAGAUAUUUCUAUCUUGAAUCACUUCAUAGAUGAUAUCAAAAGAUCAUAGGACAACAUUAUAAGAUGGAAGUAUUGAAAUAAACUCUAUGAGAAAACAAAAGCUUUAAAGUUCAAUAAACAUAUUUGCUUGUUUAUUACACACUAAUAAAGUCAAGUUCACUAGAACUUAGCCUAUGUUACCUUAUUUAAUGCUCACGAUAAUCAAAUGACUUAAAAAUAAUUAUUAUUCCUACUUUACAGAGAAUAGGGGCAAAAGAAUUAAAUAAUUUGUGCAAAGCUUUAUGGCUGGUAAGUGGUAGAAUUAGGAUUCAAACCAGGCCAUUUUGCCUUUACUGCAUGUAUCUCCCGUCCGCAUUUACAUCACCUCAUUCAUUCGAUUAAUUCUUUAUUGCAUGCCUAGAACAGUAAUGAGCAUCCUUCGAGGCCAAUCAGAACCUGAGGCCAGAGAAAUGAGGUGACUUGUGGAGGUCCAAUCAGAUGGGUUGGGGUCUGGGAAUGAAACUCUGGUCCCAACUCUCAAGCGCAGGUUCAUUUUUCUGAGCAGCCAGAGGUUGAGGUGUAAUUCACACGAUGAGUCCUGCUUCUUUGUGAUAUUUGUCCAGAUAGACUUGUUUGAAUGUAAAGAAUGAGGAGGGUCUAUGCAACUACAGAGGUAAGACUGAGUAGAAUUUUAAAAAAAUUAAAAACAAGAAACUCAUGAGACAGUAUUUUUAAAAUCUGUGUAACUUGGAAGAGUGAUGUCUUUAAUGUAAAUGUUUAAUAUUCCAAACCUCUGAAUCUGAUUGCAAUCUCAUUAGUACCAAUAUUCAAAUCCAGGGAGUUCUGAUGUUCCACUAACCUAUGUAGGAAGUCCAGACCUAUCUGGUCCUUGAAGUAUUUCUGGGAAUUCCCAGCGGUCCCCUUAAGGGUGUGUCCAUGUAUCAGACUACCCUUGUCGCCUACUGCAGGCAGUCAGCAGCCACUGCUCAGUGCCAGUCGCUGCCAGUUCUCCCACUAAGGGAGGGAGGGGGAGAAUAUGGCCUUUCCCCUUGGGCUCAGCUCCGCUGUGGAGGGCCACAGCUAUUGCAUCCCUCAGUACUGCCAAGUUGGAGAAAAGCUCCAGCUAUUUUCACACACAGCCCUUCUCCCCAACUGCUCACAGGCCCAGAACUAAUAUAUUGGUUCUGUUCCCAUGCCGGAUGUACCAAGCAAGACUGCUUCUUAUCUUGUGAUGAAUUUUUCUCUCGUGGUAUUAGAAUAGUCCUUCUUAGACUCAGUCCUGUCUCACACCAAUGACAAUGGCAGCUAGAAAUAUCUCCCUAUAGCUUUACCCCUAGUUAAUCUAUGUGGGAAACACAUACACUGUGGGGAUGUGAGGGUGAGAAGUGGGGGAAAACAAGGAACAGUAGUCAUCCAAUUUCACAGGAAAAUGUACCUAUCAUUGGCCUGUCUAGCUCAGUCAGAGCACCUGUUACAGACAUAUGGAACAGAAAAUUCCUGUGAAUAGACCCCUCCCUCUGCCAGCAGCAUGGCUGUAGCCAGCCAAUUUCUUAACUGGUAGUUUUUUGUUUAUUUUAUUUUCUUAUAUUUUUGCUUUUUAGGGCCACACUCAUUGCAUAUAGAAGUUCCCAGGCUAGGAGUCCAACCGGAGCUAUAGCUGCUGGCCUACACUGCAACCACAGCAACGCAGGAUCCGAGUUGCAUCUGUGAGCUACACCACGGCUCAUGGCAACACGGGAUCUUUAACCCACUGUGUGAGGCCAGGGAUGGAAUCUACAUCCUGGUGGAUACUAGCCAGGUUCAUAACCCACUGAGCCACAACAGGAACUCGCUUCACUAGUAGUUUUUCAGACACUGGCAUAAAUUCCUCUGUUUUAAGCACAAUAUCUACAAUGUUUCAACAAUAUAUUUUACUGGAAAGAAAGGGACUUCUAGAUUUCUGUCGCAAACCGUCAAAAUUCAGUGUUCCCAAACACACAUUCUUUAUAAUCUUUAUAAUCACUUAUGUGUCUUGGAGGUCAACCUUAGACAUGCUCUACCAUGCAGGCAGGAACAUGGGUAGCGAGAGGGACAAUUUUGAAUGUUCCACAUAGAAUUGUGUCAUAGAAAAAGUAUUUACCACUUGUUAAAAUAGUACAGAAGAUUUUAUUCAAGACCAUUCCAAGAGGGGAGAAAGACCAAACUCAAUUCUGAAUACAAUCAAGACAAGUGGGUGAUUUAUAGCCGAUUACAGUUAGAGUGAAGGAUUUAGUGGAUGGACAAUCACUGAGGAUAUACAAAGUCAGGGGGAUUCUUUCUAAACUAACCUGAUGAGAUUCUUGCUAAAGGCAGGUCAAGUUCAGGCGUAAUCGAGAAGAGAGUUAAGAAGAACUUGACUAAACCUUGGUCAAGGAGGGCUGAACACAACAUUCCGGCUUUGAGAUCUAUGUUCCAAAAGCUCUGAAAUGUAAAGAGGGUCUGUUUGCUUAUUGCACUUCAGUAUUUAUUCAUUCAGCUUUGCUCAAGUGGUAAAUUUCUAAUCAACUCAAUUUGGAAAGGUGUUAUUUUGCAACUUUUUCAAAAAUUCAUAAAGGAAGCUGAAAUAUGGGGAGUGUGCAAAUCAUAGUAUUCAAAUAAUUAGACAGUAAUAUCUCUGGAUUCCCCUAUCCUUAAUAUCCAUGCACUUACCUAUUUAUUCUAUAAAUGAUGGCUACCAUCCCUUUUCAGUCCUUUCUUCUAUAUCUCUCCUUUUCCUACCUGCACCUGUAACCUUACCAAUUUAUCACACAGUCACUCAUUUAGGGGGAAAAAAUCUGGAAAGCAAAACCUGUUUCAUCCUUUGUAAUGUACUUAGAUAGAAAGUGCUUUCCAUAAUCCACAAUCAUUCUGCAGCUAGAAAAGACUCUUAACAGUCAUCUCUUCCAGCUCUCUCACUUAAUAAUUCAGGAAACUGAGGUCCAGACCAGUUGGUGAUUUAAUUAAAUUUUCAUAGUUAAUACUAAAAAUAAAUGUAUUUUCACACCUGAAGUUUAAAGUCCAUUCAAGUAUUAAAAAUCAUGAAAUUACAUUUUUUUAAAUCCUGAGCUGACCAUAACAGAAAAUACCAGUUUCUCCUGCUUCCCUACGAGGUGAGUUAGGAGAAUUGGUCACUUCUAUUUUUAACAAAGAAAGAGUUGAUAAGAUACUGUCUGAAUUGAAGAAUUUCUAGAAACUUGAAUGGUCUAAAAAUAUUAACUUUAUGUUUGGGACAGAAUUUUGCUAGAAUCACAUUACCCAGUGUUCAGAAAUGGAAAUAAACAGUCUCCAAUCAGAAGACUUGACUGAGGCGAAUGGGUGACUCUAUGGGGCCACUAAUUCAUAUGCAGAAGGAAGACACAUGAGCCCAGGGAAUUAUAGUCACUAUCCAGUGAUAAGCCAUACUGGAAAAGAAUAUGAAAAAAAAAAAUGGGUAUAUGUAUACGUACAACCAAAUUAUUUUGUUUUACAGCAGAAAUUGACAUAACGUUGUAAAUCAAUUGUGCUUCAAUAAGAUAAAAGAAAAAA
rnacentral:lncRNA from 1 species